UACGUAGGGUGUGAGCGUUAAUCGGAAUUACUGGGCGUAAAGCGUGCGCAGGCGGUUUUGUAAGCCAGAUGUGAAAGCCCCGGGCUCAACCUGGGAAUGGCGAUGGAUACUGGCUCGCUAGAGUGCGGUAGAGGAGAGUGGCAUUCCCGGUGUAGCAGUGAAAUGCGUAGAGAUCGGGAGGAACAUCAGUUGCGAAGGCGGCUCUCUGGACCAGCACUGACACUGAGGCACGAAAGCGUGGGGAGCAAACAGG
rnacentral:rRNA from 1 species